rnacentral:rRNA from 1 species
AGAAGAAAGCGGCAACGCGCUGGAAGAGGAGCCUGCGGCCCAUCAGGUAGUUGGCGGGGUAACGGCCCACCAAGCCCGUGACGGGUCCCUGGUCUGAGAGGACGACCAGGCAGACUGGGACUGAGAACGGCCCAGACUCCUACGGGAGGCAGCAGCAAGGAAUUUUCCGCAAUGGGCGCAAGCCUGACGGAGCAACGUCGCGUGGAGGAAGACGGUUUUCGGAUUGUAAACUCCUUUUGGGUGGGACGAUUGUGACGGUACCACCCGAAUAAGCCCCGGCUAACUCCGUGCCAGCCGCCGCCGUAACAC